ACACACGCAUCAUAGUACACCCGAUACAUUCGGCAGGAUCGAAAAACGAACCGUGAGUAUAAAACAAAUUCUAAACUAUUAACUUUGUUACCGAGGAAACGCGAUUAAUAAAAUAAGGCAUAUUAUAGUACACAAUUUUAAAAACGUCAUUCUGGCGAACUACGGUAAUUAUUCCAGUUUUACGCCCUAAACCGCGAACACCAGGUGCUCAUUAUGGACGUGUAGGCGUGCAUUUGCUAUGAUAUUAAUUUGGCCGUUUAAAACACGUUCGCCUAGGCAGGAUGUUUUGCCGGAAACUGAAAUUACAAUAUU